CCUACGGGAGGCAGCAGUGGGGAAUAUUGCACAAUGGGGGAAACCCUGAUGCAGCGACGCCGCGUGAGUGAAGAAGUAAUUCGUUAUGUAAAGCUCUAUCAGCAGGGAAGAAAAUGACGGUACCUGAGUAAGAAGCCCCGGCUAACUACGUGCCAGCAGCCGCGGUAAUACGUAGGGGGCAAGCGUUAUCCGGAUUUACUGGGUGUAAAGGGAGCGUAGACGGCAGUGCAAGUCUGGAGUGAAAGGCUGGGGCUCAACCCCCGGACUGCUCUGGAAACUGUACGGCUGGAGUGCAGGAGAGGUAAGUGGAAUUCCUGGUGUAGCGGUGAAAUGCGUAGAUAUUAGGAGGAACACCAGUGGCGAAGGCGGCUUACUGGACGGUAACUGACGUUGAGGCUCGAAAGCGUGGGGAGCAAACAGGAUUAGAUACCCGUGUAGUC
rnacentral:rRNA from 1 species